CAGAGAACAUCGCCUUUAUAGGUGACUCUCCAACCCUAUGUUUUAUAACCUUUGUUGCUUUGGCGAGCCGCCUCGGCCGCUGGCUUCGGCUAGCGAGUGCUCGCCAGAGGACCCCAAACUCUGAAUAUUAAUGUCGUCUGAAUACACUAUAUAAUAGUUA
rnacentral:misc_RNA from 1 species